rnacentral:rRNA from 1 species
GCCGCGAGGCGACGGCGUUCUCGCCGGAUGUAGGAACCGACCCGGGGGACCGCCGGGGGCAACCCGGCGCCCCGAGACGGGGCGAACCACGGUGAAAUGACGGAUCCGUCGGCCCCCGCGCCGGCGACUCGCCGAAUGAGUUUCUGACCUAUCAACUCGAGACGGCGGGGUAGAGGCCCGCCGCGGUAACGACGGGUAACGGGGAAUCAGGGUUCGAUUCCGGAGAGGGAGCCCCGAGAAACGGCUACCACUUCCAAGGAAGGCAGCAGGCGCGCAACUUACCCCUAAUCUCGAUUCGAGGAGGUAGUGACAAGAAAUACCGAUGCGGGACCCUACGGGUGCCGCGUUCGGAAUGAGUACGAUUCGAACCACCUAACGAGGAACGAUCGGAGGGCAAGUCUGGUGCCAGCAGCCGCGGUAAUUCCAGCUCCAAUAGCGUACGUUAAAGUUGCUGCAGUUAAAAAGCU